rnacentral:rRNA from 1 species
UGCGUCCUACGGGGGGCAGCAGUGGGGAAUAUUGGGCAAUGGAGGAAACUCUUACCCAGCAAUGCCGCGUGAGUGAAGAAGGUCUUCGGAUUGUAAAGCUCUUUGAUUGGGGAUGAAUAAAUGACGGUACCCAAAGAACAAGCCCCGGCUAACUACGUGCCAGCAGCCGCGGUAAUACGUAGGGGGCAAGCGUUGUCCGGAAUGACUGGGCGUAAAGGGUGUGUAGGCGGUUUAUUAAGUUAGAAGUGAAAUACCUAGGGCUCAACCCAGGUGCUGCUUCUAAAACUGAUAUACUUGA